rnacentral:rRNA from 1 species
CACGUAGGGGCCAAGCGUUGUCCGGAUUUAUUGGGCGUAAAGAGCUCGUAGGCGGCUCGACAAGUCGGGUGUGAAAACUCCGGGCUCAACCCGGAGACGCCACCCGAUACUGUCGUGACUGGAGUCCGGUAGGGGAGUGGGGAAUUCCUGGUGUAGCGGUGAAAUGCGCAGAUAUCAGGAGGAACACCGGUGGCGAAGGCGCCACUCUGGGCCGGUACUGACGCUGAGGAGCGAAAGCGUGGGUAGCAAACAGG